CCUACGGGUGGCAGCAGUGGGGAAUAUUGGACAAUGGGCGCAAGCCUGAUCCAGCCAUGCCGCGUGAGUGAUGAAGGCCUUAGGGUUGUAAAGCUCUUUCGCUGGGGAAGCGGUACCCAGAGAAGAAGCCCCGGCUAACUUCGUGCCAGCAGCCGCGGUAAUACGAAGGGGGCUAGCGUUGUUCGGAAUUACUGGGCGUAAAGCGCACGUAGGCGGACUUGUCAGUCAGAGGUGAAAUCCCGAAGCUUAACUUCGGAACUGCCUUUGAUACUGCAAGUCUUGAGGAUGAGAGAGGUAAGUGGAACUGCGAGUGUAGAGGUGAAAUUCGUAGAUAUUCGCAAGAACACCAGUGGCGAAGGCGGCUUACUGGCUCAUUCUGACGCUGAGGUGCGAAAGCGUGGGGAGCAAACAGGAUUAGAUACCCUUGUAGUC
rnacentral:rRNA from 1 species